AAUAUUGGCUUCUAUAUUCUCAGUUGUUGCCUCUUGAUCUCAAGAUGGUUGCUGUAGCUCCAGAUAGCACCUCUGCAUUCAAGGCACAUAAUAUACAAAAGUCUUUUCCUGGCAACUUUUUAGAACGUUGGAACAGAAAGCCCCCGUCAGAAGACUUCUUAUAUUUCAUUAGCCAUAAAUAAGUCACAUGUUCACUCGUAUAUCCAUCACUGGCCAAAAGAAGAGAUUACCAUGACAAGUCUGUGAUUCUUCUGUCAGGGCUGGGGAAGGGCCUCCGAGAGAUGAAAGGAGCAGGGUUCUGUAAGCCAGGAAGAGAGAAUAACCGUUAGGUGGGCAGUGGACAAUGGCUAGAUAGAAGCUAAGAGGGAUGGCUGAUAAGGAUGUGAGGUGGCUAGUUGGAAGGGUAGCAGGUACCUGCUCUGUCCUAACCAUGUCAAACUUGGAGCAAGCUGUCAUCUUUAUUAGAGAAGUGAGGAGUUAGAAGUGAAGAUUAGAAAUACAAAACUUACAGACAGUCAUGUAAUAGGGUUAAAACCAGAAAUGUCAACUCUGAGCCAAAGUAAGCUAAAGCCUGUGGUGUGUCGGAUGCUGGAACAGGAGCCCGAAGUCCAUGUUGGGGCCCAGGUGGAGGGAAUAGAAUUCUGCUGAGUGCCUGGUUUCUGGCUCUGGCUCUUGCCUCGUGGGAGUUUAGGUUACAUUUAGAGCUGGCAAGCAGUUUCCAGCAGGUGUGGCAAUCUCCAGGCCCUUAGAUAACUAGUUCACUCUGGGCAUGUACACAGUCUUGCAGGGGCUAGUAGAUUCCAAGCAUCAAACUAGAGAUGGGAGAAGGACAAUUUAGGGCCAAGUGGGGAAAUUGGCAAGAGUCCCAGGCCCAGGAGCAGCCAGAUUUCCUGGGCAGUUACCAAAAUUGGAGCUUGGAAACAAGGCUUAAGAGGUGAAACUCUGUUAUUUAGGGUUGGAGGCAGGCUGGAGUUGGGGAAUUAGGAGCUCUUUGACUAAAAUUGAGACUUUAGGGUGGAACUAGCAGCCACUGCUACUGGGUGCAAGACCCCAGAGUGGGCUGAAGUCAAAGGCCUCAUGCCUCAGUAUGGGCUUGAUCCUGAGCAUUGGAAAUUAGCCUCAGCCUACUACAUAUGGAUCAGGGGUUUCCUGUUGGGGUGGGAGAAGGAAGGAUGUAGCUUCGUAGGAGAUACAUACAAGAACUCUUUUGGAGAUAGCAUUUACAGGGCUUGGAAAGAAGACAAUGCUGGAGGGUGAGCCUAGCUGGCUGGCUUUAUCUAAAAUGUGGAAUACAGAAAUAGUAAUAAUUGUUGACGUUAAACGUCUGAGCCUAUGAGUACAUAGGGCAUCUAGGGAGAGAUGUCAGUAAUUGAUUAUAUGAGAUUGGGAUGUGGGAGAUCUCUACCAAGAUCUCUACAGCCAGAAAUAAAGACUGGAGCCAUCCACACAUCGGGAUCAGGAUGGAGUGAGAUUGCGAAGGGAGAGGGCGUUGGGAGUUCGGCACAUCGUUUUUGUGUAUGCACCAUGAAGGAGAAGCCACUCCAAGGGUUGUAUUUAUUUCCAUUUCAUUUUAUUGCCCCAUGAUUUUUUUCCCAGAUUCCUCCAAUUUCUGGUUGAUUCUUCUUUCCUAAUGUUUUUCAGAUAUAACCAGUUUCUCCCAAAUAGCUGCAUUUUCUUUUUUCUUUUCUUUUUCUUUCUUUCUUUUUUUUUGAGAUGGAGUUUCACUCUUGUUGUCCAGGCUGUAGUGCAGUGGCAAGAUCUUGGCUCACCAUAACCUCCACCUCCCGGGUUCAAGCAAUUCUCCUGCCUCAGCCUCACAAGUAAUUGGGAUUACAGGCUCCAGCCACCACAGCUGGCUAAUUUUUUGUAUUUUUAUAUUUUUAGUAGAGACGAGG
rnacentral:lncRNA from 10 species